rnacentral:lncRNA from 1 species
AGUGAGGCUCAGCAUGGGGCACAGAGAGGAACAGUCACCCCUCCUCUCCCAGCAGCCUGCCCAGGGCACCUGCACCCUGCAUUCUAAGAGGGACACAAGGCGCUGCUGGCGGUGUGUCUGCAGGACCCACAAGAAUGCCUGCUGGUGACGUUUCAGCAGGACUCUCCAGCAACCCCACUCCUGAGCACGUGACGAACAUAAGCCAUCUUCAUAUGCCACCAGAAGACGAGCCUCGGGAGCAGUUUUAGUUCUAAGAGCUCCAAGCUGAAAGCCGACUGCCUGUCAUCCUUGACCACCUGUCCACAAGGAAGAAGGGGUACAUUUUCCUAGAUUCACACAACUGAAUGCUACACACCCGUGAAAAAGAACAAGUUACAGGUCCAGGCAACAAUGAGGAUGAACCUCACAAACAUAACAUGAAGCAGAAGGAGGCAGACAUGAAAGAGUACAGACUGCAGCAUUCCACUCAUAGGAAGUCCAAGCAUGGGCAACGAAUCCAUGCGGCUAGAGGUGAGAGUCACGGUUACCUAAAGGGGGACAAUGUGGGACAGGGGAUGGGGAGCUGUCUGGGAGCCAGAAAGGGUCCAUCCCUUAACCUAGAGGAUGACUACCCCUAUGGGCAUGUACAGAUCUGCCAAACUGUACACUGAAGAUUUGUAUACUUAGUAAGUGUAAAUCAUACCUCAAUUUAAAAAUAUCCCUGGGGCAGGGGACCACCCACCCACCAAACUGUCCACAGAACCAGCAAGCAGGGCCAGGGUUGGAGACACUUGUCUGGGAGGUGGGAGGAGGGGAAAGCCAUCGCCCUGGAGUUUGGUGACUGGCUGUGUGAGCAUGUUACUUGCUGCCCCUGCCUCGGUCUCCCCCUCUGCAGACAAGGCUGCUGCCCAGUUACAGAAGUCACUGGGACCCGUGACGCUGAACACCAGGCUUUUUGCACAGAGCUUAGGAUGACACGGCCCUUGUGAAACAAACCCUGGGCAGAGAGGAAAGCUCAUGUGUCGGGAGGCAGAGGGGCCUGAGUGGGUGCUUCUUGUUGGGAGGCAGAGGGGCCUGAGUGGGUGCUUCUCGUUGGGAGGCAGAGGGGCCUAAGUGGGCUCUUCCUCAGGGCAUUCCUUGGGAAGAGGAACAACACUUCCAGGACAGCGCCACAUGUGGCAGGGGCUCGUCUUGUUGCGGGGGAAACUGAGGAAGACAGAAUGUGCUCUGUGACUGUGUGUCCCUCCCUGGUGGCCUCUGUCGCUCCCAUGCUUCUCUUCUCAGGGGUCUCUGUAGUGAUCAUUCUGCACUAUUCAAGAUUCAAAGGAGUUGCCCCAUCAAGCGUGAGUGAUGGCGGCAAGUGAAGUCCUUGUGGUCAGAGGGGUGUCCCUUAGGGGGAUCGAGUGCCCAUUCAGUGCCCGUGAUACCAGAGGGGUGUCCUCGUGAGCUGGAACCUGAGAGAGGCCAGGGGUCUGGAGGGCAGUGCACAAAGCUGGCUCCAGGUCAGGGCACAGAACGCUGGGCAGGGAGCCACCCCAGUGCCCAGGCAGGCAGCAGCCGGAAGUCCUGCCCCCCCUCUUCAGGAGGGAGUGGCCAACAAGGCUGGCCACUUUCAAAAGGCCAGGGCUUUUGAAUCGGAGCUAGACACCCUGAUUUACAGCUGGCAGCACGUGGGCCACGUCACUGAGUCCCGGCAUGUCACACGUGAUGCAGCUGCUCCACGGUCACGUGACUCUGCCGUCAUCACUGGGCUGUUCUGCUAUAAUUAAACACUGUCCCCAAAAACUAGCCAAGGGCUCUACUUUACAAUGCAAAGUCAUCAUCUGCCCAGCAGCUCCCUUGGCAGAGCUGGUCCUCCCUGGAGGCGCCAUGCUGACCUCCUGGCAUCUCAGGAAGAGAGUGCUUUCAUUUGCUCCCCAACUGCUUGGGUCCCCCUGGCUGCUCCUGCUUGUGUUUUAAGUUCUCCACCCAAGGUGGACGUGAGGGGCUGGGAGUGUGAUCGUGAGACCCAGGGCGGGUGCCUGCAGCCCUUCCUCUCUGUAUCAAGCUGGUAUCUGUGGCCUUUCUCUGUUCACCCGCCGCCUUGUUGAACACUUCUCCUUGGCACCUUCAGAAGCCAGGUGUUUCUGCCCACCUUUCCCUGCUGCCUCCCAUGGAAGUCAAUCUGGCCACGCCCAAAGGGCCUAAGCAUCGCCACUACAAUUCACCUCUGACUGAAGAAAGCCACAGCUAGGGCAGGAAUACAGGACAUUCCCCGGCUGAGGGAGAAUCAUGUGCAGGGAGAAGCUGAAGUUUCUAACAUUAACCUGGUGCAGAAGAAAGGAAAAAGAGAUUCUGCAGGCCGCCGCUUAAAACAGAAUUUUAUAUCCUUUGUGAUUUAAUAUUUCUGGGGAGGAACCACCUGUGGAAAACAUAUCCGAUUAGAAAUGUUCCCUUUUUUUCAUAAAUAAGCAGAAAAGUUUUCCUAGUUUUGUUAUGUAAUGAGUGGGGGUCUCACAUCCUGGUUAGGGAUAUAGGCUUCGGCAGCAGACAGGCCUAAGCUGGGAUCUUGGUGCCUCUCUGUGGCUUCUGGCCUUGGUGACAUCACUUACACUCCCUGGCCAUCAGUUAUGGAGUUGGCAUGACAAUGCCUGUGUCCCAGCAUUACUAUAAAGAUGGACCAUAAUCGGAGUGUGCCUCUCUGGCCCUCCGCCCCUGGGAAGGGUCCAGGAAAGGGCCACUGUGAGUCCGGGCGCCUCUCUGGCCCUUCUCCUUGAUGUUGGAAAGGUCACCUUCACCCGCACCCCGCAGACCUGUUGGAAGGCUGCUGCCAAAGCCAUCGAGAUUUCAUAUUACUCCAGCACAAAGAGUUCUGAGGAUAUUUACAUAACCACAGGUUUUCAACAACAUUGCUAUAUUUCAGUAUUUCUAUGAGUUUUAUCCCCCAAACGUGGCGUUCCAGAGACAAUGCAAACUUAAUUAGGUUAAGAUGAACUGGUAAGCAAACCCCUCGCCAGGUGAGCAAAUUCUCACCAAAGCACUUCAGGGAAGCACCCUCACCUCUGCAUAGCCACACCAUCCCUGCGGAAAUACUUGGGGAGGGGGUCAAGUCCUUUGGGAAACGUCUGCUUUCAUAAAAGCAGCUUUCUUUACACCUUUUUACACAAGUGCCUUUCAACAAGUUACAUACAAAAUCAACCUGUGACAUCAGGUAGAUAUUAAAAACUGAUCAGGCAAAAGCCUCUGCAGCAACUGAACUCCACACUUAUGUGAGGCGGGAGGCUGAGUGGGCCCUGUGAAGACGCGGGCGUCACGGCUGCUAAAGCGUCCAUGCAACACACAGAACAGCAACAAAAAUAAACAGCAGAUGCCAUCGCGGGUGGAGGGUGGGGGUGGGAGAAGAAAGGUGCCAAUCUUCUGGAAGAACACAGAAAACCGCCAGGAGUCACAGCGCGACGAGUGUGCGGGGAAGGCGGCGGGGCCGGGAGUCACAGCGCGACGAGUGUGCGGGGAAGGCGGUGGGGCUGGGAGCUGGCAAUGUCUUCUGUCUACAGACUCCCUCGCCACAUCCAGCCCUCCCCACCCCUCCCACUGGCAGCGAGAGGAAAUCCCGUCCGGGGAGCAGCAGGCAGCUGCGGUGGGAAUUUCAUGACACUAGAAAAGACUGGACUCCUCCCUCAUCCUACACCUGCAGAGCCCCACGCAGUCAUUUAGGCACAAACAUUCACUGUAUUCGCCUGCAUUCCAUGAAGGCUCCGUUCUUUCCAUGCUGAAUUUGAGCCACUUCGCAGACAGAAGUGGCCCUGGGUUCUCAGCCCCACCUAAGUUGCCUAAGACUACAGCCACGCGACACAUUCUCUGCAGCAGGUACGUGGCCUCCAAUAGAGGAGAUUAUCAGGCAGUCUGGAGGGUGCAGGAGCCACUGAAAGGCAACAGUGAGAGGACAGGACAGGAGCAGGGGAUUCAGGCCUCACUGAAUCCCCCUGGAGGACAGUGGGGUUAGGCCAGUUUCACUCCACCUUCAGCCAACACAGAGGGGGUGUGUGUGUGUGUGUGUGUGUGUGUGUGUGUGUGUGUGUGUGUGUGUGUGUGUGUGUGUAUCAUCUGCAUUUGACGAUCUGUCUAGUCAACUUUACGUGGCUCAUUAGGCUGUGUGGGUGCACUGAUUCUAACCAGUCCUUCACAUUCCUUUUAUAAGGCUACAAGAAUUCUCCAAAGCAUUAUCUAAGUCCUGGAAGAGCAAUUACAGUUUUGGUACCAAAAGUAGGAGCGACCAGCCAGGCUCUCCCCCACAGACAACAGCACCUGCCCACGGCCAGCCUCCUGCGAUGAGUCACAGGUGCCACGUGAAAUGCAUUAUACACACUCAGGGACAGACACGCAAAUGCUCCACUCAUGAAGGAUACAGAAAUAGAUGGAGGAGCUUCUUGGUCAUUGUUUACUUCUCAAAAAUGGAAUCAUUCUAUACAUCCUUAUGCACAUGUUAACUUCUUACUCAAAGUACCUCCUGGAAAUGUUUCUGAGUCAACUGGUUUGCCUGUGAUGAAUUCUUUUAGGGACCUGCACAUUUCAUAAUACGGACUUGUGAUAAUUUAUUCAAACUUUUACCUACUUAUUAGGUUCCCUUGAUAUCCAGCAUUGUUUUUUUUUCCUUUUUGCUUUUUUUGGUCACUACAAAGCUGCCAUAAAGAUGCUUAUGAAGAUAUUCCUAAGUAAGGUGCUUUUAUUUUUAGGGUGAAAUUCCCAGAAGUAUGUCUGAAGGCUGUAGUGUUUUUUAUUUCACUGGGUGUCACCAAAAGGCGCUAACGCUUGACAUCCCAUCAAGAACGCAUGAAAACUCCUCUCCCCUCACGACCAGUGAAUAGCGCUUACUGCCCUGGGCAAUGCUGUGCCAGCCACUGAGCACAGUGUUGCCUUAAUUUGCAUAUGGAAUACCGGCAGACUCGAACACCAUUCACAUAUUUCCUGGCGAUCUGAAUUCCGUGUCUGUAAACUGCUUGUUCAUCCCCCUUGCCCGUUGUUUCUUUGGGUUUCCUAACUUCACACUCACUCCUACGAUAAACAUAAUUUUCUUCUUGGAUUUGUACUUUUUGUAUUUUACAUUCAUGUCUUUAAUCCAUUUAUUUUAUUUUACUUUUUUGAGAUGGAGUCUCACUCAUGUCACCCAGGCUGGAGUGCGGUGGUGUGGUCUCGGCUCACUGCAACAUUCGCCUCCCAGGUUCAAGCGAUUCUCAUGCGUCAGUCUCCCAAGUAGCUGGGAUUACAGGUGCCCGCCACCAUGCCCAGCUCACUUUUGUACAUUUAGUAGAGAUGGUCAGGCUGGUCUCGAACUGCUGACCUCAGGUAAUCCACCUGCCUCGGCCUCCCAAAGUGCUGGGAUUACAGGUGUGAGCCACAGUGCCCGGGCCAUUUGUUUUUAUAAAAUAGGGAUUCAACAUUUAUUUCUUCCUGACGAAUAACCAGUUGUGCCGACACCAUUUAUUAAAUUUAUUAAAUAAGCUCUGUCAAAUAUUCCAUAUUUUCUAAUCUAUUCUACUGACUUUUUUGUCUAUUCUCAUGUAAUAUCAUAAUUUGAUUAUGGUAUUAAAAUAUGUUAAUCUUUUGCAUAUUUUCAUAUCAUAAAAUGUUAUCUUUACACUUUUCUUGAUAAUUCCUGGACAUUCUUUCAUACAAACUUUAAGAUUAUUUUAUUCAAUUAAAAAAAACCCUGCUAAGAUUUUCACUGGAGUUGCAUUUUAUUUAAAUAUUAACACUGGGAGAAUUGGAACUUUCCAAAUAACAAGUUUCCCACCCAUAGUACAUACUUCCAGCUUUUCAGACUUUGUUUUCUGUCUGCCACUGAGGAUUAUUUUAUUUCAUUUUUUUUUAGAUGGAGUUUCACUUUGUCGCCCAGGCUGGAGGGCAAUGGUGCGCUCUCGGCUCACUGCAAACUUCGCCUCCCGGAUUCAAGCUAUUCUCCUGCCUCAGCCUCCCCAGUAGCUGGGAUUACAGGCGCCUGUCACCAUGCCUGGUUAAUUUUUUUUGUAUUUUUAGUAUAGAUAGGGUUUCACUAUGUUGGCCAGUUUGGUCUUGAACUCCUGACCUCAGGUGAUCCGCCCACCUCGGCCUCCCAAAGUGCUGGGAUUACAGGCGUGAGCCACUGCGCCUAGCCAGUUUUCUCCUUUUAAGUCCUGUGUGUCCAGAGAGGGGUGGGCACACUCACAUUCAAAUCAAUGCUGCCAUCCCCCUGGCUCCAGGGACCCCUGCAGUUUAAGCUUCUCCGGGAAGCCUCUGCUUUCAGGUUUCUUUUCUGGCCCAGUCCAGGUGAAAAGAGCUCGCACUAAGAUCUCUGCUGGGAGUCAGACUCACCUGUCUACCAGCUUGGGCAGACGCUUGCCUUGAGUCCUGAGGCUAGGCCACAGCUGGAGCAGCAGAUAGAAGGGACAGGGUUGCACUUAUAACACCACUAUCCUCCCAGCCCUGGUUUUAUCAUCAUCAUCGAGAAAAAUACAAUUAAUCAGCAGUGAUCAAAGGUAAGUCUAAACAUUCCAUUUAACUAACUUAAAUGUGACCUGGUGUGCCGUGUCAUUCUAUAAAUGACAUAACAGAAUAAGACUCACUUUCUAAUUCACAGCCUCUGGUUCAAUUUCAAGUAAGCAAAUACAUUUUGCUUUGGUUUUGCUUACAAUAUUCUGGGAAAUGCAGGCUAUAAAUAAUCACUCAACUGUUUUGUGGGUCAACAGAAUCACUACUACUUUCAGUUUCGUUGAUGCCAUUUAUAUCAUGAGCUCAAGCACACGGGCGCUUCAGAAGGCACUAUAAAGUUUAGUUUUGAUGUGGUGUGAUGUUCUGAUCUAUCUUGAAAGGUAAAGAAACCCACAGGAUUCAGCGUCAAGCCAAUCCAUGCCCAGGCACAUCGCAGCUGCUAGGUCAGGAAAUCUGUGCGUUUAGGAGGCUCUGAGGGUGAUGCUGGGACUGUACUCAGGUAAUUAAACCCGGACAAACCCUGAGGCACAGAGAGGAUGAGUAGGGGCCCUGGAGGCAGCCUGACCCACAGGGAAUUCUCGAGUGUGUGGCAGCCCUGCCUGGGGAACGAAGACCCGAGCCUCAAUUUCCUCACAGGGGCACUCGCAGGGUUGCUGUGAGGAUCACAGGGGUAAUGUAUGUGGCAGUUUGUCAUACCCCAGGGCUCUGUAAGCGGCAGUUAUUUAUAUUGUUACUUAUGACACUGAACUAAGAGCUGACCCUGACGCCGCCUCCUCAGAAGCCCUAAGUCUUGAGUGGCCUGGACACCACUACACACGAGAGUCAGGGGCGGGGGCUUUGAGAUGGACCACCAGGAAAGCCGGGAGAGGGACCGGGACAGGGCUCCCACUUGCUCCUGGCUCACAGGGGCCCUCAUAGUCAUCAGGUGGACCCCAACAGCUGUGGCCUGACAAAGAUUCCCCCAAAGGCCAGCCCACCUUACACGCUACAUCUGCCCCAACAGCCCCCCAGCCCAACAGGUGGUGCCUUCAUGGAGAUGCCCAUCCCUGCACGUAGCACUCAAGGCAGUUCUCCCACCUGUAAAGCUGUUUUUCUUCCCCUACAAUCCACACCCAACCUUUCUAGGUCAAUCCUGAAACCCCACACAAGCUCCCCAACUACACCAGAUCCUUCAACUCCAACACGCUCACCAAGUCUCUUCAAUAGUCACUUCCAUCUUUAUAAUUUACCAUUUUCUUGAGCUGUUUGUAUAUUUCUCUAACCAGAAAGACAAGAAGUAGUAGUAUUCAGAUUUAUAAUGACUGGUUACUGGUACUGAUUUGAGAGUUUCUUGUCAAGCGGAUGAGUGUUUAAGGCCCACCACCUCUUUUCAUAUUCUUCUCUCUUAAAAACCACAUUUUCAAAGGUCUGCAAACGUUUUCCACAGUCAACAACUUGAGAGGCAUGGAAGUUUCUUGCUUAUCAGGGGCCAAGGGGGAAUUUUAGAAUCUUUUGGGUAAAUGAAUGUUUAACAUCCCCUGAAAGCUGCUGGAGAGUGGGGAACCUAGGACCGUCACAAAACAGCCAGCCUCUGCAUUGCCUCUGCCGACCAGGGCUGCAGAGGGCAGCCACCCAGGGCUCAGCCACCGGCAGGAGUGGAGGAAGCACAGCUCCAAAGGUCACAGAAUUGCAGUCCUGGAGCUGGGUCCCUGCCAACUCCCGGAGAGUGAGCGAGGGGCCACUGGGCUGUGAAUGCACUGUCUCUGGCAGUGGAUGAUUUCCUCGUUCUUCUACGAUAGAGACUCUAAUGCCUCUCAGGCCCCUGAUGGUCUACAGGCCGGGUGACGUAAUCCCAAUGAGGGUAAGAAAAUUAUUCCUGCUUUUCUCCAGGUUAUAACUGGUGAUUAUGUAGGCUUGUCUGCUUUAAUCUUCUUUUCUCAAAGUCUAGUAGAACACCUGCUUAACAACUUCCUGCCCACCCAUCACUCAGACAAAAAUGCAGCGUUCCAAGAACAAUGGAGAGCCACCUCCGCAGCCAGACCUAGGGUUGGAUCGCACGAAGAGCUGGAAUUUGGGGAACCACUUAAGACUGGAUACAUUUGGAAGGAACAGUCACACAAGAUAAAAUAAAUAUUUAGCUAAGCUUUCAAAUUCUGGAAAUGUCAACUAAUAAAACUAAAAGUCUACUACCUCUGAAAGUAUAAAUCCAAAAAACAUUUAAAAGACUUUAAUUUUAGCAAAGGGAAACCGAAAAGCCAAAGCAGCAGAAUAACUUGUUUCUACAUAAUCUGUUUCCCCAUGUACCUGCUACCAUCCCCAUCCUCUGCCCCACAAGCUUUUCAAGUGACGAACUCCUCACAGAGACGACAGGCAGUGCUUUCCAUGAUUCUUACCUUAACUAUGCUGAUAGGCUUUCGAGAUAAGUGAAAACUUGCAUACAGCAGAAAUGUCAAAAUAAAAAUGAAGGCUCUGUACCUGAAACACAAAACAGUGGGAGAGGAUGAUAUGAAAUAACAGAAGUUAUGUUAGGAAUACAUAUCACUGUGUUCUGAAACGUUCUUAUGCUGUGUAUUAUUCAUUCAGUUCUACAGCCAUUAUCAAUAUUACUUAUGUCACUAUAAUAUUGGAACAUUAAAAAAUAUUGCCACGUUUGCUUUGUCCAAAUGGAAACUGAACACUGUAAGAGACAGGAAAAACCAGACUGCUUUUCCUACCCUCAUGCACAACACACAACAUACCAUACUUCUAACACUACGUGUGUAGGGGUUUUCCCCAUAUACCAAGCAAUUCUCCAGCUGACACUGGAUGUCCUCUAAGUGAAUUCAAUUCUCACACUGUCUUCCAGGAGUCAGCAUCAGCCCCCACAGGGCGGGGCUCCGGCCGAGGCUGCCCCGCUUCACAUGCCAAUGGCAACAAGCCCCAGGUUGUGACCUGCUCCUCUGACCAACUGGCUCUCAGGGUGGUUCCCAAGAACCCCUUCUCAGGUUCGAUUAAUUUGCCAGAGCAGCUCGUAGAACUCAGGGAAACACAUUUACUGCUUUAUUAUAAACGAUGUUACAAAGAAUACAUACAGAUGAAGAGAUGCACAGGGCGAGGUAUGGGGCAGGGAGCUCGGAGCUGCUGUGCCCUCGCCAGGGCUCCACCCUCCGGGAACCUCCCCGUGCUCAGCAGCCUGCAAGCCCCCAAACGCUGUCGUUGAGGGAGUCUGUGGAGGCCUCAUUACACAGGCACGAUCGAGCAGAACACCGGCCACUGGUGAUCCACUCCACCUCUGCGGGCUCCCUCCCCUCCCCAGAGGUCCACGGGUGGAGUCCCAACCUCUAAUCACGUGGUCGGUUGCCCUGGCAACCAGUCCCCCAGGAGGUUGUCCUGGGGCCCGCCACAGUCACCUCAUUAGCAAACAAAAAGACACUCAGCACUAAAGGUUGUAGGAGCUGUGUGCCCAGAACCAGGGCCAGAGACCAAAAGCAUGUUUCUUAUUAUUACGUCACAAUAUCAAAAGCAUUCAUCUAUUUAAAGAAACCGUAACCAAAGGGAAACCUGGGACUCGAGAUGCACACUUGAGUUUACAAAGCAGAACAAGCACGAUGAAAUGUUUAGUUUACAACAAAACUAACCACAAGUUUCUGGCGUAGCCUGCUAUCCUGGGCAAUUAAGAUCAUAUUUAUUUUUGGCUCUUUGGUUUCUAUGCAACUUUUCAGAAGCACACAAGCAAGGCAGACAUAUAAAUAUUUCACGGCCCUCAAAGAGAAAAAGGCAGUGACGCUGGCAGGCUCUCAAUAGGCCAGUGACAGAAACACUGGUACAAAGCCCCUCGCUCAGUUUGGCUGGGAGAAAAGCAGCCGAAAGAGUCAGCAUGAGUGUGAGGAAGAAAGAAGAAAAGAAGGUGCCUUAGAAAGAAGACAAAGGGCAACUCCAGUCUAAGAGUCUCAACCACCGCAUAGAAAAAUACUUUUUGGGGCAACAAAAUGGGUUGGGAGAAAGAAGUAUUUGACAGGAGUGGAAGGCGAGGGGCAGCUCUUCUGUGUCCUAGGCACAUCUCCCUACCCUGGAGAACCUGUCCUGCUUGUGGCCUGGGAAGAGACUUCAAAUGGCGCCACCAACAACCUGAAUCAAUAAUUACCUAAGGCGGCGUCCUACACAGGACAAAGAAAGGCAGCGUUUCCGAGAGUCCCUGGGAUAAGGGGUUGCUUCUCCCAGCUGCGCAUCUACAUUUUUAAUGUUGUGAUUUACUCCGAGGGAAGCUUUCCACAAGUAACUAAAAUCCUAGGAUCCCAGAGCUGCCUUCUUCUCUGGUCACCAGCUAAAGUAGGGGUCAAAUAAAUAUUUCCAGAUUUUUCUUAAAAAAAAAAAGGCCAUAUUUCAGGUGGGAAAGAAAGGUUGGUGGCUCCGUGUGACACAAAACUACAACCUUUGGAAUGCCUGUGCCUUUGGGGAAGGAACCAAACCAAACCAACUCGCAGAAUACCUGCUGACUGAAGACAGAAAUUCCCCAGUGCUCUCUUCUUCAUCAGGGAACUAUCUUCCAAUGGCCUUUCUCCAAUUCUUCCUCUCCAAGCCCAUGGCAAGGGCCAAAUGGGAAAAAAGCGAAACCCUAAAAGGCGAGCCUAUCAUUUAUCCCAAAGCCCAAAGAACAAAGGCUAUGUGGGUACAGUGGAUUUGCUCCAGAAGCCCCGGCCUCUGUCCUCGUGUUUCUGAAAACCAUCCUUUCUGGCAAGGAAAGAAAGUCUCAGCGCUUUGGAUGAAGCUCUCUGUUAGGCCACCACUGCUUCUCACGCCUUCGACUGCUGGUGCAGGAAGAUUCCAGGCCACUGGGCUUCACCGGCCCUCAAUGCUCACUUGUCCAGCCCACAGCUUGACAAACUGGUCACUUCCACCCCACCUGCUGGAGCUGACUAGGGCAAGUAAGGCUGAUGGGUGACCCUGAUCGGCCCUCACUGGAGUACAGGGUUUCCUUCUCCAAUCUCCUCAAAACAGGUGAACAAAGUUCUCAGGCCAAGUUGCCUCCAGCACCUCCCCAGUCUCAGACAAGUCCAUGGACCAUCUCUCCUGCUCCAUGCAGGAGGAUUCUCCAACCACAGUGCCAGUUCUACAGGUGUUAUCACCCAGCUAGGAAGGAUUUUGAGAAGAGCAGCUCUGUCCUAUGGGCUGUGGGUUCACAUCUCCACUCUCCACCCAGACAGCCCAGAAGGAAGGCUGUCUCCCUUUGUCGGGCUGAGGUCUGAAGAGUGCUGAGGCCCCGACACACACCGCGUUCCCAAUGGUCAGGGCUGCUUGGGUGAUCAGGCCCUGGUGAUGCGUUCUGGGCUCCUGCCUUCCUCUGCGGGGUGACUCCCGGCUGGUGCUCACAGCACACGCCUAGAGAUGCCCUGAGAACACUGAGGAGCACACAAGGGGCAGCACAUGCCUCUGGAACCUUUAGUUCAGCCUUGUGUGGAGGGAGACACCUUAAUGAAUGAGACCCUUUGGGAAGAGUCACUGCCACGGUGUAGCCAGGCUGACAGAAGCCGUCCUGUAGAAUUGGGUGAAGGGUCCAUUUACACAGCAAACUGGAAUGUUCCUAAAGACUGAAGAGGAAAACGCUGUAUUUAUUUAGCUGGUGUCAGGCCAACUCUACUUCUAUUUCCAAAUUCGUCUUUCCUCUCUCAUUUCUUCAUCUUCUGUACUUAGGACUUGGGGCUUGGGGAUGGGGGACGCAGUGGCUGGAGGCUAGACUUUCCUCUUUGAAAGGUCUGACUUCAGCUCCCGUGACUAUUGCUAAACCGCGGCAGCCACACUCGGGCCGCUGCCUUGCUGGUUGUCACCCCGAUACGCCUGGCCUCUGGGUAGGCAGACGCUUCACUCUGCAGCAUGGAUGGGCUCAAACCCCCAGAAGCCAAACAGCCCUCCCGAAGUCCUUUCUUAUUUCGUAAUUCUAUCUACGUUUUCUUUAUCAUUUAUAAAGCAGAUGUUUUGGAUGAUAUGUUUCCUUUUGUUCAUUUUGUACUGGGUUGAAUAUCAUCCCCCAUAAUUUCAUGUCCACCCAAAACCUCAGAACGUGACCUUAUUUGGAAAUAGGGUCAUGUAGACAUGAUUAGCUCAGGUGAGGUCAUAUUAGAUAGAGUGAGCCCUCAUUCCAAUGACUGGCGUCCUCACCAGAAGGCCACGCAAAGACUCAGAGACAGGAAGGGAGGCCACGUGGCCACACAGGCAGAGACUGGUGUGAUGCAGCCACCAGCCAAGAACGGCGGCAGCAGCAGGAGCUGGAAGAGGCAAGGAAGGGUCUGUCCCCGGAGCCUGCAGAGGAAGUGUGGCCCUGCUGACACUUUGACUUUGGACUUCUGACCUCCAGGGAUGUGAGAGGGUAAAUUCCUGUUGUUUCAAGACACCCAGCUUGUGGUACCAUGUUACAGCAGCCCCAGGAGGCUAAUAUAAUCCUUUCAUUUUUGUUUUGUGUUAUGUUUAGACUUAUGAAUAUAAAACAAAUACAAUAAAAAAAUAAAUGAUCU